CGAGCACAGCACACCUUCACGCAGGCACCCACACGCCUCUUUUUUUUCUUCGCUCCCCGCCCACACACACACGCGCAUGCGCGUGGCACUCUUCCGUCUGCUGCACCGACACGCGUGUCCUCCUCAGUUUGCUAUAUAUAUAUAUACGCAUAUAGCUGUGCGCGUGUGUGUAGGUGGUCAUCAUCAUCACCAUCUAUUCCUUCUCUCAUUUUGUUUUGUGGUGCUCUCUAGCUGUCGCCCCCCCCCCAAGCGUAGAAAGACGUGAGAGUGCCGGUAACAUGGGUGGCUGUGUCGUCUCCUUGAUGGAGGUGCUGAACAGCACCCGUCUCGUCGAGCACCCCGAAUUUGCCGCGCGGCGCGUCUAUGGCGUCAUCAACCAGCGCGUCACAGAGGACGAGGCUGACCGCUCCGGCGUGUACCGGUGUGCGCGGCUGACGGAUGCGCAGCACGUCGAAUGCUUUAACUGGUACGACGGGCCGACGAUCCUGCAGCGCCUCGCCAUCAUCUGCACAGAGCGCGCUGACCAGCGCGCCAUGGCGUACCGCACGGUCGAGAAGGUGGUGAAGGAGUCCACGAAGGAUGAGAAGGGCGGCACGCGGGAGUGGGCGUACACCUUCUUCAACGAGCCGACGUACAUCACGUACGCGGAGGUGUGGAGCCGGCUCGUCGCGUUCGGACGCGGCCUGGUCGAGUUGGGUCUUCAGAAGGGCAGCCAUGUGGCGCUCUACGAGGACACGCGGUGGGAGUGGCUGGUGACGAUGCUCGGUGUGUGGACGCAGGAGAUGAUAGGAGUAACCGUGUACGCGAACCUCGGCGAAGACGCGCUGCUCUACGCUCUCAAGGAGGCGACGUGCGAAGCGCUGGUGUGCAACGGCAAGAACGUCGGCAAGCUCAUCUCGCUGAUGGACCAGUACGGCGUCCAUAACGCGACGAUCAUCUACCUCGACGCACUGCCGUCGAACCUGAACACAGAGUCUCACAAGGUGGUCGCGUGGGCCGACGUUCUGGCCAAGGGCACGCCGUCGACGGCACCGUACAAGGUGCAGGACAACAAGGACGAGGAGGUUCUGGUCAUGUACACGAGCGGCACAACCGGAAACCCAAAGGGCGUCGUGCACACGAUCGGCGCGCUGACGCAAGGCGCCCUCGGCCUGGAGGAGCGGCUGACGGAAUUGAUCGGCAAGGAGGAGAACGAGUCGUACGUCGCCUACCUCCCGGCUGCACACAUCUUCGAGUUCACGUGCGAGAACAUCAUGCUGCUGCGCGGCGCACUCAUCUGUUUCGGCACGCCGCGCACGCUGACGGACACCUAUGCGCGGCCGUGCGGUGAUCUGCGCGCGUUCAACCCCUUCUUCUUUAUCGGCGUGCCGCGCAUCUUCGAGACCAUCAAGAAGGCCGUCGAGGCGAAGCUGCCGCCGGUGGGCACGCUCAAGCGACAGGUGUUCGACCACGCCUACCAGAGCCGGCUGGCGGCGCUGAAGGAGGGCAAGGACACGCCGUACUGGAACGAGAAGGUGUUCAGUCUGCCACGCAGGAUUCUCGGGUCGAAGGUACGUGGCAUCUGCUGCGGCGGCGCCCCACUGUCCGACAAGACACAGGAGUGGCUGUCCGUCGUGUUGGGCCGCCCCGUGGCGCAGGGCUACGGCAUGACGGAGUCUGUGUGCAACGCCUCCGUGCAGCGCUCCGGUGAGCUCAAGUGCGAGGUGGGGCAGCUCCUGCACGGCGUCGAGGCGCGCCUGCUGGACACGGAGCACUACAAGCACACGGACAAGCCGCACCCACGUGGCGAGCUGCUGCUGCGCGGCCGCUUCGUCUUCAAGGGCUACUACAAGCAGCCGGAAUUGACAGAGCAGAGCAUCCUGCCGGGUGGGUGGCUGCGCACGGGCGACGUGGCCGAGAUGGAAGCGGAGACGGGGCAGAUGCGCAUCAUUGGCCGCGUCAAGGCGCUGGCGAAGAACUGCCUGGGCGAGUACAUCGCGCUGGAGAACCUCGAGGCGCUUUACUGCGAGUGCCCGGUCGUGGCGCCCAACGGCAUCUGCGUCCUCGUGGACCCGCAGCAGCCUUUCAUCACGGCGCUCGUGCUGACGGACGAGGAAAAGGCAAUGAAGUUUGCCCGCGCCCACAAAUUCGAGAACGCGAGGUGGCCCGAUAUCCUGAAGGACCCCGCGUUCAUCGCCGCGGUCACCGCGUCGCUUGCGGAGAUUGGCCGGAAAGCGGGCAAGAAGUCGUUUGAGCUGCUGAAGCGCGUGUGUGUGUUGAGCGACGAGUGGACGCCGGAGAACAACCUGGUGACGGCCUCCAUGAAGGUGCGCCGCAGCGCGAUCGACAAGCACUACGCCGGUAUCAUCAAGGAGCUCUUUGCAGAUUAGUCGGUGAAGAAGCAGUUGUGUGUGCAUAUAUAUAUAUAUAUAUGUGUGUGUGUGUAAAUGUGUGUGUGCGCCUCCCACCACUAACACCACCACCACCUCGGAUGCGUCGGCUUCUCUCUGGUAAAACGUUCCCAAAGACAAUACCGCCCCACCCACCCCUCCUCCUCCCCCCCCCCCCGGGCAGCAACGAGUAACAGAAACCCUAAGCGUGCAGACGGCCGUGUCGACGUGAGGCGCGCUUUCAUCGGCUGCUCCGGCGCCUUUCUCGGCGUCCGUCUACCACGUGGCCCCCCACCCACCCCCGGCGUUUCGGGCUUCGCCGGCACGCCUGAUCUCCAGUGAGCCAACGAAAAAAAAAACAACCUCCUGCUUCAUCCGGCCAUGCCGCUCUUCGUCCUCACGGUCCUCGUACUCGUCGGCUCGACUCUCUGUCUCUGUCUCUGUCUAUUCGCGCGGAAGUACGGUGCGUGGUAACGGCGCACACACACACACACAGGCACGCCCAUCCUAUGCAGAGAAUGUGCUAUCCCCCUUCCCCUUCCCCAGCCCCAGCCCCGAUUCUUCGCUCUCGCUCUUUCCUAUCCCUCAG
rnacentral:misc_RNA from 1 species